GUAGGUGGCAAGCGUUGUCCGGAAUUAUUGGGCGUAAAGCGCGCGCAGGCGGUCCUUUAAGUCUGAUGUGAAAGCCCACGGCUCAACCGUGGAGGGUCAUUGGAAACUGGGGGACUUGAGUACAGAAGAGGAAAGCGGAAUUCCAAGUGUAGCGGUGAAAUGCGUAGAGAUUUGGAGGAACACCAGUGGCGAAGGCGGCUUUCUGGUCUGUAACUGACGCUGAGGCGCGAAAGCGUGGGGAGCAAACAGGGAUUAGAUACCCUGGUAGUCCACGCCGUAAACGAUGAGUGCUAAGUGUUAGGGGGUUUCCCGCCCCUUAGUACUGCAGCUAACGCAUUAAGCACUCCGCCUGGGGAUACGGCCGCAAGGCUG
rnacentral:rRNA from 1 species